CAGGGCUUAUCUAUUAAAAUCUAUUUAUUAUGGAUUUCUCGAUUUUAAAGGAGUUAAUAUUUAUUUGUGUUAAUGUAAAAAAAUUAUUCAUAAUAAACUGUUAGAAAUGAAAAGUUAUUCGGCUUUAAAGGUAUCUAGUUUUUAAAGAAAUAAAUUUAAUUUACUAAUAUGGGCAGAAAUUUAAUUGUUAAAUUUUCUGUAAAUUAUUAAAAGUAAUUCAUGGGAUAAGCUGUGAAUUAAAGCUUUAAAAUAAAUUAAUAAUUUAUAAUAAAUGUAUGUUUAGAAAUAGCAAUCGUUAAUAAAUUUGUUAUAAUUUAUUUUAGUAAUAUAUUAUUUAGUUAUUAUAGUAUUUAUUUAAAUAUUAAUUUUAAUUUUAAAAAUUAAGAAAUAAUGAUAAAAUUAGUAUAAACUGCUGCAUGAGUAAAUUGAGUGGAAAGAUUAAGUUAAAGAACUCGGCAAAUUAAUGAAUAUUCCCCUGUUUAACAAAAACAUGUCUUUUUGAAUUUAGUUUAAAGUCUAGCCUGCCCACUGAUUGUUUU